UACGUAGGGGGCGAGCGUUGUCCGGAUUUAUUGGGCGUAAAGAGCUCGUAGGCGGUUCGAUAAGUCAGGUGUUAAAACUCCAGGCUCAACUUGGAGAGGCCACCUGAUACUGUCGUGACUAGAGUCCGGUAGAGGAGCAUGGAAUUCCUGGUGUAGCGGUGAAAUGCGCAGAUAUCAGGAGGAACACCAGCGGCGAAGGCGGUGCUCUGGGCCGGAACUGACGCUGAGGAGCGAAAGCGUGGGGAGCGAACAGG
rnacentral:rRNA from 1 species